rnacentral:rRNA from 1 species
GACAGAGGCCUCAAGCGUUAGGCGGAAUCACUGGGCUUAAAGCGUGUGUAGGCGGAUCGUUAAGUGUCUUGUGAAAUCCCACGGCUCACCCGUGGAACUGCUGGGUAUACUGCGAGUCUUGAGCCACUUAGGGGCUGUCGGAACAGGCGGUGGAGCGGUGAAAUGCGUAGAUAUCGCCUGGAACGCCAAAGGUGAAAACAGACAGCUGGGAGUGUGCUGACGCUGAGACACGAAAGCCAGGGGAGCGAACGGG